CGCGCGCGCAUUGUGAGCAUUCAAGUUUCGUUUUUUGCACUUGCUUAGUAGCUGAAAUUGCGGACAUUGCAGGGUUGGGCUUGAUGACAUUUGUUGCUCAGCUGCCGCGGCACAUUUGGAGCAAAGGUGAGUGUCGUGCGAUUGCCCGUUCUCUAGCUGACACUUGUAAAAACAACCGGUUGCGCAUUUGAGCUGUGGCCGAUGUGAUCUCGAAAUUCGAAGGAGCACGAAACGGUUGUCGCAGGUCUCGUAGUGAUCGCAGGAUAAUUUAUUCGUUCGUGCCUUCAACAAGUACUAUCACAGUUCCUACGCGUUACCCCGAUGUAAAACGAACGGCGGAAGCGUUCACGCGCCGGAAAAUGCAUGCACUCAACUAGCUCUAUCGCUUCUGCUUAUUUCCUUUGGCCGCACCUUAUAUUUGUUGUCUUUGUCAACAUCUGACCUGUUUCUGCCUUGUUGAAAGCAAGUGGCCACAAGUACUGCUUAGUUUGCUCAGUCUAAACCUGGUAGUGCAUCCAGUUUAGCGCCGUGCACAUGUGUACGGACGCGUGCACGGACGUAACGCUGCUGCCCAUCGCGAGUCGUAAGCGAAAAAAAAAAGGCCGACUGAAAAAAACCAAGAAAUAUAAUAAGCUGCACGAUCAACAGAUUUUUGAAGAGACCGUUUCAACAGAGCAGAUCGUUAUUGGAUAUGAAGAAAUGUGGAGUGGAUAACAGCAAAACAUGUGGUAACCGACUGACUGACGGGAACAUGGAGCAUCACCCUCACCUUCCAAGUGGCUCCUCCCAUCACACAUCAAAUGUGCACCAAGAAAGAAAGGCCAAUGUUGUGGUGCAGAGAGGCCUUGACAUGUUCGGCAUUCAAUAGCACAAUAAUGGCAUGGCUUACUCACAAACUGGAGCAUGCAUCACUUGCUUCUGAUCUACCAUGCCAUGAUGUCGUGAAAUCGUGGAGCCAAACUGCCUUUGGCAUUUUUAAAUGUUCGCAUUAAGGAUAAUAUAUUUCUUGUGCACAGAAGCAAUAUAAAGUUUCAUAGUGUAAUUAACUGAUUGACAGCUACACACGCAUAAGAAAAAGAUUGUGCCAGGACUACUUAAACUCUGCAAUCUUUAAAUUAGCUUGGCCCAUUCUUGCAAUGUUACACAUUUCAGAUGAAUGCAGGUCACUCAUUACAGUUAUGCCAGCUUUUGUACGUUUUAGACAUGCAAUGUUUGCCCCAGUUUUAUACGGCGAUCAUAGAUAGCCACACCACGUUGGUAGAAUAAUUCAGAAGUAAAUUUUAGUAAAAGCACCAUUUAUGCCCGGGCUUAGACUAUGCCAGUGUAAUUUGUGAUUCUCAUCAGCAAUACCAAAUCAAUAAACUUGAACGCGUUCAGAAAUUGGCAGCAAGAUUUAUUUACUCUUCCUAUCGACGAACGUAA